rnacentral:rRNA from 1 species
ACGGCGAGUGAAGCGGCAACAGCUCGAAUUUGAAAUCUGGCCUCGGCCCGAGUUGUAAUCUGUAGAGGAUGCUUUUGGCGCGGUGCCUUCCGAGUGCCCUGGAACGGGACGCCACAGAGGGUGAGAGCCCCGUAUGGUCGGACACCAAGCCUGUGUAAAGCUCCUUCGACGAGUCGGGUAGCUUGGGAAUGCUGCUCUAAGUGGGAGGUAAACUUCUUCUAAAGCUAAAUACUGGCCAGAGACCGAUAGCGCACAAGUAGAGUGAUCGAAAGAUGAAAAGCACUUUGAAAAGAGGGUCAAAUAGUACGUGAAAUUGUUGAAAGGGAAGCGCUCAUGACCAGACUUGCGCCGGGCUGAUCAUCCAGUGGUCUCCACUGGUGCACUCUGCCCGGCUCAGGCCAGCGUCGGCUGUCACGGGGGGACAAAAGCACUGGGAAGGUAGCUCUCUCCGGGGAGUGUUAUAGCCCUAUGCAGAAUACCCCCGCGGCGGCCGAGGUCCGCGCUCUGCAAG